AAACAGGACUCGACUGCAGCUCUGCUGCUGCUCUCUCACACUUUCACUUCUGCAAAAUGACGUUGAACUUCUCGUCUUUGCUCCGCCUCUUCCUGCCUCUCCCUUUAUCAGCCGGUCUGUACUCACUGGCUGUGUCCCAAUUCAGGGUCUGCACGCUUGAAGUACGCA